rnacentral:rRNA from 1 species
GCGAGCGUUACCCGGAUUUACUGGGCGUAAAGGGCGUGUAGGCGGUCUUUCAAGUCCGAUGCUAAAGACUGGGGCUCAACCCCAGGGGUGCGUUGGAUACUGUGAGGCUAGACGGUCGGAGGGGGUAGCGGAAUUUCCGGAGUAGCGGUGAAAUGCGCAGAUACCGGAAGGAACGCCAAUAGCGAAGGCAGCUACCUGGACGACUUGUGACGCUGAGGCGCGAAAGCGUGGGGAGCAAACCGGAUUAGAUACCCGGGUAGUCCACGCCCUAAACCAUGAGUGCUGGGUGUCCGGCUUCUGCUGGGUGCCGUAGCUAACGCGCUAAGCACUCCGCCUGGGAAGUACGCACGCAAGUGUGAAACUCAAAGGAAUUGACGGGGGCCCGCACAAGCGGUGGAGCAUGUGGUUUAAUUCGAAGCGACGCGAAGAACCUUACCAGGCCUUGACAUGCCCGGAACCCCUCUGAAAGGAGGGGGUGCCCGCAAGGGAGCCGGGACACAGGUGCUGCAUGGCCGUCGUCAGCUCGUGUCGUGAGAUGUUGGGUUAAGUCCCGCAACGAGCGCAACCCCUAUCCCUAGUUGCCAGCAGUUCGGCUGGGCACUCUAUGGAGACUGCCUGCGAAAGCAGGAGGAAGGCGGGGAUGACGUCUGGUCCGCAUGGCCCUUACGGCCUGGGCGACACACGUGCUACAAUGCCAAGGACAGAGCGCUGCUACCUCGCGAGAGGACGCCAAUCGCAAAAACCUUGGCUCAGUUCGGAUUGGAGUCUGCAACUCGACUCCAUGAAGCCGGAAUCGCUAGUAAUCGCGAAUCAGCC